ensembl:lncRNA
UUUUUUUUUUUUUUUUUUUGGUAUCAAUAAAAUAAAUUCUUACCUGGGAGCUGAAAUGGACUUCCUGGUCCAGAACUUGCUGGGGAGUUGGGAUACGUGCUGCUAGCAGGAGAAGGAGGGUAGGGACUAUUCGGAGAUAAGGGAAAAGGAGUGUUGUUGGGCUGAUGGAAAGAAUCUGGAAACGUUGCAUUUUGUGGCAUGUGUGGUUCAUUGUGGCUUAAGUUUCUAAACUGAACCAGAAGGCUGUGUUGUGGAUUGAAUUCAUUAUGACGAGGCACUAAUACUGGAGGUAAGACUGAAAGACAAAAAUCAAAAGUCAUUUGUCGGCAAUGACUAACAAACAUCUCAUACACCUGAAGGGAAAGAUAGAAAGGAUUCAGGGAAGAUUAUAAACCUAUUAAAACAAUUUACUUUUAGGAAGGGCUGUUCUGUAGAACACUGAAUCUGUAUUUACAUAAUAACUAAAACAGCCUAUACGAAAUACUCUGAAAGACACAGCACCCAGAGCAGAAAAGACACCACUCCUGGAGUUCUAUAGCAGAUCAAGCACAUUUAAAAACAACCAUAAUUACAAUAUAGGGAAAAUAGACAAUAUUUAUAAAAACCAUAAAUAGGUUCAAUCUCUGGCCUGGGAACCUCCACAUGCCACAAGUGUGGCCAAAACAAAACUAUAAAUAGAGUAUAACUUUUAAGAAUUUUAAAUUCCCAUGUUGUACACCUGAAACAUAUAAUAUUGAACAUCAACUAUACCUUAAAAAAAAAAGAUUAAUUAUGUCAUCAUCUCUUUAGAUGUUGUUGCUGGUGAUCUUGCUUUUUAUCUACAUGCAACAGGGAAUAUAUUCCAAACUACAUGUACAAAAGUAUCAUCCAUCCUUUAGCUUCAAACAGGGCAGCUAUUUUCAUGACAUUACGGUUUCUUUACAUAUUUGCUCUUUACCAUUCAAGGCUGUGCAAGCUUUGAACGAAGUAAGAUGUUCAUAUGAUUUGAAAUAAAAUAGUGGAUUUUUUAAUUAAUUUAUUUAUUUUUGCUUUUUAGGGCUGCACCUGUGGCAUAUGGAGUUUCCCAGGCUAGGGGUCAAAUGGGAGCUGUAGCUGCCAGCCUACACCACAGCCACAGCCACAGCCACACGGGAUUGGAGCUGCAUCUGCGACCUACACCACAGCUCACGACAAUGCCAAAUUCUUAACCCACUGAAGAGAGGCCAGGGAUCGAACCAGCAACCUCAUGGUUCCUAGUCAGAUUCGUUUCCACUUCGCAUGCCAAAUUCUUAACCAGGGAUCGAACCAGCAACCUCAUGCUUCCUAGUCAGAUUCGUUUCCACUUCGCCACAACAGGAACUCCAAAAUAGUGGAUUUUUUUAGUUAAAGAAAAUAGAUAAAUCGAGAAAUCAAACAAAAUACUGUGAAAAAGACAGCAUCUGACUGGGCAUCAAAGACCCGGGAGGGUUUCACGCAGAGGUGCUGGGGUGCUGGGGUGGAGAGAAUGAAGGAAGGAGAUAACAAGGACGUCAGGGGGCCUAAGCUCUGAAUAGAAGGGUGUACGUCGGGGGCGCGGGGGGGCGGGAUAUAUAAAACAAGAGUAGAGGUGAGGUCAGCUAUGCACAUGCCCUGAAAACCUCUGUGUUUCCAACUUUGAACAUUUCAUUGUUGUUUGCAAACUCCUGCAUUUUUACCUUCUUCAGUAACAUUUUCCCUAAUGAAAACAGCAACAUUUCCUAGGUAGACGUUUUCCAUUCAAAAUAUUUUUAUAAAAACACAACCGUAAUGAAAACAUAUAAAGAAAGCCUAAACAUUUUCAGAAGAUACUUUUUAUUUUUUUUUAAAGAACAUACUUUUUAAAAGAUUCACUUUGAAUAAAUGUUUGAAUAACAUUCAUUUUCUGUAAGGACUCGAGUGAUCAGGAGUUCCCACUGUGGCCCAGGUAGUUAAAUACCCAACUAGUUAGAAUCCAUGAGGAUGCGGGUUUGAUCCCUGGCCUUGCUCAGUGGGUUAAGGAUCCAGCAUUGCUGCAAGUUGUGGCUUGGAUCUGGCAUUGCUGUGGCUGUAGUGUAGGACGGCAACUGCAGCUCCAAUUCAGCCCCUAGCUGGGAACUGCCAUAAGCCACGGGUGUAGCCCUAAAAAGACAGAUAGACAGACACUCAGACAGGAAGAAAGAAUAAAGACUCAAGCCAUCAAUCACACACCUUUCCCUAUAGGAAACUGAAACAAAAUAGCUUUCUCUCACCUCUUUCUGUACCAAUUCAUUUCUUGCACAACGUUCCUGGAUCUGACAGCGUACUUUCAUGUCUGAAAAUGUCACUUUGACUCUGACACUAGUCAGCGUCAACAAAAUCAACCUGUGUUUAAGUUAAUGACGAAUACUUCUGCUCCCUGAAGUAGGGAUGAACCUGAGAAUCAGGCUCUGUGAGUGAGUAUUUGCACUGUUUUUGUCUCUUUUCAUUUUACAGAACUAGUGCUGAAAUUAUGCAGUUAACAUCUGAUUACAAAACUGCUUUGUUCUACUGUGUAGUACUAACUGCUGACCCCUUAGAGAACGAUGGGACAGCUGCCACUGGAUAGUACAUCAUGAGACAGUAAGAAUUUCUAUGUUUAGCCGGCUAGCAAUCUGAAAGCCUUAGUGAAAUAACUACUCAGGAAUUCAAUCUGGUAGGGAUUUUACUCUGUAUGAGGCAAAACUAAAAUCACUGAUUUCUCUCUUACUUGUAUAUUAUUUAUAUACAUCAUUUAAAAAGAUUAUUUUCAUUCAAAAAUAAGUAAUUUUAAAAGAUAGACACUAUAAGAGGUUAUAAAUGAAAAGAAUAAUCUGUAAGCCUCCUCCCUCCCAUACUGCUUCCACAGACAACAAAUUUAAACUUACUCAUUUCUUCUAAUAUUCACUUUGUGUACAACUACAUAGUAACUUUAUAUUGCUGUUACUGGUUUCUCAAGACAUUAUUUGUAGACUUGCUGUUAUGACGAAUAAAGUAUUUUAUUAAAUCAUUCUAUCCCACUGCCCUUUCCCAUAAUAAAAUUACAUAAAACAUUUUGUUUAAAUCAAUAUUCAAUGUUUAUAUUUUAUAUAUAUUAUACAUAUAUACAAUUCACUGCUGAGCCAGGUAUACACUAUUUUUUCUCAAAAAGUGUUUUUAUUAAAGUUAAUUAUUGCCUUAUUCUUCAUCUGCUUAAUCUCAAGUAGGUAUCAUUGAUUUCCAAAAGUCCAACAGAUGUGUCAAAUUCCUAUCAGUUCAAUUUUCCAGAUGCCACAAAUAAACAAAUAUCUGUUCACUCCAUUUUCUCCCCUGGAUCCUCCAUCCUUUUGCUACAGUCUAGACAGGCUGCUUCUUAGGUCUCCUAGAAAUCUGAGGUCUCUGGACCGCCCUUCUCUUCUCUUCUGUUGGAUCCUGUUUCCUGGACUUUAUUCUCUACUAGCUUCCUUAGAAAGGAUGUAAAGAAGUUAAAUUUUGAGUCCUUACCUAUAUGAAAAUAUCUUGUCCUAUGUCUGUCUGCAGACAGAUUCCCAAAUAGAUACCUUUUUCUCUUUGAAUUUGGGGGGGAGGGGAGUAUUGCUUCACUUUCUUCUAGAAUCCACAACUACAUUGAAAAAUCGUAUUCUCCUUGCCAAUCUUUUGUAGGUACCCUGUCUUUUCUCUCUGGGAGCUUUCAAAACCUUCUCUUUUUAUCCAUGAUAUACUAAAAUGUCAUGUGUGAGUCUUUUUCUAUCCCUGUUCUGGUUACUCAGUCACUAGGCCCUUUUGAUUUUCAGUUCUUGGAAUUGUUCUGGUAGUAUUUCUUCGAUAAUUUUCUCUUUGCCAUUUUCUCUAAUGCUUGACCUGUUUGAUGAGACUGGUAUAUAAUUUGAAACAUUCUGAGUCAGUUAAUGCAUAAAUUCAUCUAAUCCUCAUGACUAACGUGAGGUAGGUAUUAUCCCCUCUUGACAGAUGAGGGAACAAAGCCACCGAAAAUUUAAGUAACUUGUCUGUGGUCACACCAAUAUGACUGGUAAAAUCAGGAUUUAAAUCCAGAAAGUCUGAUUCCAGAACAGAGUCUUAACCAACAGACCAUAGUGCCUAUUAGAGUAAACAGUAGACCACCUGGGCUGGCCGUCUGCUUUUCUUUUACCAUUUUCCAACUACGUUCCUUUUUUAAACCAUUUUGUAAUAAUUUAUGGCUCCACUACAUACUAGCUACGUAAUUGUGCGUAAGGUACCUCCCUCUCAAGUUUGGAUUUCCUUAUCUGUAAAUUUACCGUUAAACAUAAAAGAACAUUGUAAAAUGUUAGUAGUAUUUUCUAACCCUGUGAAGCAAUAACCUCACAGGAUUAGGCAAGUGUCUGGCCCUUAAAUGCUCAAUAAAUAUUCACAGAAUCGAAAGUAACAGUAACCAUUACUGUUACUAUGACUUUAUUAAUACUGGUACUCUGAAGUGACCCAUCCUGUGCCACAGCUGCUUAACUUGCUUAAGCAUACCAGACCUAAGUCCCCGGCUUUUGUAUAGAAUGAAUCACAGCUGAGAAAAAUAGAUGGCAAAAAUAAGACAUUUCUACUGACUCAUUAUCAGACAGACCCUGGCUAUGGUGGAAUUCACUAAAUUCCUAGACUUUCUUUCCAACAACCCCUAUUAAAUAUUAAGACUGGGAAUUUUUCAGAGUAUAGCUUCUCCGUUAAAUCCUCACAUCUUUCUUUCCUCAUCAAUUCCUACAGCUACAGCUCUCCUUGGCAUCUCUUAAGUAGUUGAGAGUCACCUCAAAUACCACCUAGCAGCUCCAGAGCCCUUAAAAUGAACUCUCCCUGAUAGCACCACAAGUGCUAUUAUUUUGGGCUUGUCUCCACAUCCAACAUUAUUUUUAUAGAGUUUUUUUACCAUCCUGGGCUUAAACUAUCUUCAUAUGAAACCCAGCAUGGUCAGCAGACUAAGGUGACUACCAUGACCAUUCACCCUAGAGUAAUCCCCUCCCUCUGAGUAUAUCAUCUGCGACUUGCUUCUAACUAACAGGACAUGGCAAAAGUGACAGGAUGUACGUGAUAACAUUCCAUAAGAACAUAAUGUCCCUUCUCACAAGAAGACCCUUUCUCUCGUACUGGCUUUGAGGAAGUAAGCUGCCAUGACAGUAAAGCUGCCUAUGGAGAAGAUCAUGUGGCAAGCAAAUAAGGGCCGCCUCCAGUCAGGAACCCACCAGAAUCAACAGCCUGCAAGGAACUGCAUCUCUGAAUAUUCACAUGAGCUGAGAAGCAGAGGCCUUCUCAGUUCAGACCCAAGCCCUGACCAAUACCUAGACCAUAGCCUUACAGUAGGACCCAGUAAAGCCAUGUCUAGACUCCCGACCUACAGAAACUGUGAGAUCAUUAACGUGUGUUAAGCCACUCAGCUUGUGGUACUGUUAUACGGCAAAAAAAAUAUCUAAUGUACCCAGUCAGUAUCUCAGCUUAUACAAUUUCUUCAUUACAAAAAAAAAUGUUUACUGAGCACUCCCUACUGAGUUCCAGGUCACAGUACUCUUCUAGGCACUGGGGAUGCAGUACAGAGUAAGACAGCGAGGGUCCUUCUUACCUCAGUCAAAAAACAAAGUAAAUACCUGAGGCAAGCAGUGAUAAGAGCUUCUGAGCAAGGAUGGAAUGAAGAGAUAAAAUGUAACAUGAAAAGAGUCCAGAGGUUUCUUCUAAGUAGAAGAAAUAGGACAAAAACAAACAAACAAACAAACGAACAAACAAAAACAACUCCUAGAUGCAGGAGUAUGGCAAGUGUAAGGAGUGGAGGAUGUCUGAGGAUAGGUCACGGAGGACCUUGUAGAACUCUGUUCUAAGGGUGACAGAAAGGCUUUAAAGUGUUUUGGGCAGGGACUGACAUGACUUGAUACAUAUUUUCUAAAGACCACUCUGCCUGCCAGAAUAGAAAACAGAAUGGGUGGGGGGAAAAGGAAACAGCAGCAACCAACCAGGAGACUACUUAAGGUGAAAGAUGAGUACUAGAGUUGCAGUGUUAGAGAUGGUGAGAGGUGCUAUCAUCAAGAUAUAUUCUGAAGGAACGGCAAACAGCAUUUGCUCAUAGCUCAAAAACCAGACUUCAGAGAGAAAAAGUAACUUCUAGGGAGCAGUUACACGAAUGCUAGUGCCAUUUACUUCAAUAGGGAAAACUGGAGGAAAAAAGUGACGUGGUGGGGAAAAAAAAAUCCUAUUUAGACAUAUUAAACAUGAUAUGUUUGUUAGACAUUUGGGGGAAGAUGUUAAGUAGGCAACUGGAUACAGAAGACUGAAACUCAAAGGAGAAGCUGACUCUGGAGUUCAAAAUAUAAGCAAGAGCUUAUAGACGGUUUUAAGAUAAGUGGCGGCAUGAGAGUACACAGAGGGAAAACAGAGGUCCAGGGGCUGAAUCUUGUGAAAACAAGAAAAUAAGCCAACAAAGAAACUAAGCAAAACAGCCAGCAAGGUAGAA